ACGGUGAGUACACGUUGAACCUGCCCCAAAGUGAGGAAUAAGCCACCGAAAGGUGGUCUAAUACUUCAUAAUAUCCAUCUCGUAUGGAUUAAAGCUUUAUGCGCUUUGGGAGGGGCCUGCGUAACAUUAGCUUGUUGGUGAGGUAAAAGCUCACCAAGGCUUCGAUGUUUAACUGGUUUGAGAGGAUGACCAGUCACACUGGGACUGAGAUACGGCCCAGACUCCUACGGGAGGCAGCAGUAAGGAAUCUUCCACAAUGGGGCAACCCUGAUGGAGCAAUACCGCGUGCAGGAUGAAGCGUUUCGGCGUGUAAACUGCUUUUAUCACCGAAGAUUAUGACUGUAGGUGAAGAAUAAGGACCGGCUAACUACGUG
rnacentral:rRNA from 1 species